rnacentral:rRNA from 1 species
GUGAGGAAUAUUGGUCAAUGGCCGAGAGGCUGAACCAGCCAAGUAGCGUGCAGGACGACGGCCCUAUGGGUUGUAAACUGCUUUUAUGCGGGGAUAAAGUUCGGGAUGCGUCCCGAUUUGCAGGUACCGCAUGAAUAAGGACCGGCUAAUUCCGUGCCAGCAGCCGCGGUAAUACGGAAGGUCCGGGCGUUAUCCGGAUUUAUUGGGUUUAAAGGGAGCGUAGGCUGGUGUUUAAGCGUGUUGUGAAAAACCGUCGCUCAACGACGGCCGUGCAGCGCGAACUGGACGCCUUGAGUGCGCUGAAAGUGGGCGGAAUUUGUGGUGUAGCGGUGAAAUGCUUAGAUAUCACGAAGAACUCCGAUUGCGAAGGCAGCUCACUGUAUCGCGACUGACGCUGAAGCUCGAAAGUGCGGGUAUCGAACAGGAUUAGAAACCCUAGUAGUCC